AAAGCAUGUUUUCUCAAGUACGUAUGCCUGCAACAUCAUCGGUUUUUUCAGCAUACACCACCUUUGUUGCAUCUGCAAUGCUGGUUAAAACCAUGCUACAUGAAGUUCAGACCUUGGCCAAACAGCUCGUACCUCAACAACUCCAGGACAAGAUUUUAUCAGGAAUUGGAAGGCUUCUUGGGGACCCCUCCUCUCAGAUGACUCUUGUCAUUGAUGAAUACAACGGCUACACCAUGAAUCAAAUCUUUGAGGCUUCUCAAAUCUACCUGCAGACCAAGAUCAGCCCAGCAGUAAGUAGGCUCAGGGUUUCCCGAUCUCCAAGAGAGAAGAACCUCUUGGUCACCAUCAGCAACGGUGAAAAGGUUAUUGAUGUAUUUGAGGGAAUUCAACUCAAAUGGGAAAUGGUUUCCAGUACUGAAAAGGUCAUGGGUGGAGACAAGGGCGAACGUAGAUCAAUUGAGCUCAGUUUCCUUAAGAAAAACAUGGAGAAGGUAUUGAGCUCUUACUUGCCAUAUGUGGUGGAGAGAUCAGAAUCGAUAAAAGAAGAAAACAAGGUGGUGAAGCUCUAUUCCCUAGGGAACUUCCAAGGAGGAGCCAUGGUUGGUGGGGGAGCAUGGGGGUCCAUCAAUCUCGACCACCCCUCAACUUUUGAAACAUUGGCCAUGGAUUUGAAGCUCAAGGAGGACUUGAUAAAAGACUUGGACAGAUUUGUAAGGAGGAGGAAGUUCUAUAAAAGAGUUGGUAAGGCAUGGAAAAGAGGGUAUUUGUUGUAUGGCCCUCCAGGCACAGGCAAGACAAGCUUGAUUGCAGCCAUGGCCAACUAUCUGAAAUUUGAUGUCUAUGAUUUAGAGCUCACAAGUCUCCAGAGGAACUCACAGCUUAGAAAGCUCUUAGUCUCCACCAAGAACAGAUCAAUACUUGUGAUUGAGGACAUCGAUUGCAGCACUGAAUUACAAGACAGACAAGCUGGAAGAUACAACCAACCUACCACUCAGGUCAGUUUACAGAGGCAUAUAAUUACCCUAUAAUACAUAAAAUUAGAAAUUCCUCUCGCCCCUUGUAAUAAAUUGUUGUUUUUUUGCUUAUUGACUGACAGCUGACACUAUCUGGGCUGCUUAAUUUCAUUGAUGGGCUGUGGUCAAGCUGUGGGGAUGAGAGGAUAAUAGUGUUCACAACAAAUCACAAAGACAGGAUAGAUCCUGCAUUGCUGAGACCAGGGCGCAUGGAUAUGCACAUCCACAUGUCCUACUGCACUCCCUAUGGAUUUAAGACCCUGGCUUCCAACUACCUUGGAGUAAGCAACCACAGACUGUUCACUGAAAUCGAAAGGCUGAUAACAGAGGUGGAGGUGACCCCAGCCGAGAUUGCAGAAGAGCUCAUGAAAAGUGAGGAAGCUGAUGUGGCCCUUGAAGGUCUCAUCGAGUUCCUCAAGAGGGCCAAGAUUGCAGAAAAUAAAUCAAAUGGUGAGGGAAAAGAAGUUGAUGAACAAGGAACAGAAAGGCGGGAUGUUGUUGAGAGUGAAAAGGUAGUAGAAACAAAGAGGCAGAAAGAAGAUAGUGAAUGGAGAACUAGAGAUUUCUGAUUUUAUGCCAUGCGCAUACUCGUUUUCUGUUGAAGAAAACCAAUCCUGCCUUCUCUGAGGCCUGUAAAACCAUGAACUUCAAAUAGAACCCAUUGAAAUUCAAUGGGGAUGGAGGGCACUUUCCACGAUUCACCCAGGACAGGUAAGUACAUAAAAUGCGGCUGAAACUUUCAUAUAUAUAUUAUCUGGUUUGAGUCUCUUUCUUUUCCUCUCCGAUGUGGGAUUUGUAGCAGUUGCUGAUGAACUUGAAAGAGACAUGGGUAAAAUAAUUAUAAUAAUAACUCUUUUGAAGUUUACAAUACAAUUUAAAUAUAAAUAUUUUUUUCCUUCAAAAAGCACUUUAACAUUACACCGACCUAAAGAUCUCAGAAAAAAUAUCCCUAAUAAAAGAGCAUCACACUGCAUGUUUUCUUAAAAAAGUUAGAAUUAUUUUGUUGAUGUAAGGAUUAUUUUAUUUUAUUUUAGUUAAAUUUCAAAAGAAAAAGAGGAAAAUAGCUUCCAGUUUUGAAAACCAUAACGUUAAUUAAAUGAUUGCUUCUCAUAUAUAUUUCUUUUUCUUUGGAAAAAGUGCUUUUAAAGUGACAUGACAAUAAAAAAAACUAUUGGAGGAGAAUAUUCUAGUCAGAAAAAGUCAUAUUCAGCUCCUUAAAAUGCGAUAUUAAUUCAUUCAAAUUUAAAAUUAAUAAAUGUUUACUAAAUAUUACUAAAAAUGUUUACUUUUAGAGAAAUAUUACUAAAAAUGCCAUUUAAACCCCUAAAAAUGGUUUUUAAAGUUGAGUAUUUUCUUUAACUAAUUGAUAUUGUAAAUAUAUAAAUAAUUUUUACAUUCACACUUUAUAAAAGAUAAAAAUGUUUCAUUUUGAAAAUUUUAUGCAUUAGUUUUAAUUUUUUCAAAUGAAGGAUUACUUUGUAAAUAUUUCUAAAUAUGUUUGAUUUCAAUAAUUGAUAAAUUAUAUGACCAAAAUAUCAUAAAUUGGUAAAUAUCAAUUAUUGGAUUUUAUGAAGAUAAAAUUUAUGAUAUCAAAUAGUAAUGCAUUAUACUUAGAAAUAGAUGAUGUAUUUUUUCUAUUUAAAAUGUAAUUAAUAAUAUAAAAAAUUAAUUAAUAAUGAUAUAUUUAUGAUAAUUUUUUGUUUAAAAAUAUUUAUAAUUUUAUUUAAAAUUCAAUUUUAUUUUAUAUUUAAUAAUUAUAUAAAAGAUUAAAAAAAAUUAAAAGUAAAUCAAAUAUAAUUUAUUUAUAAAAAUUUAUUAAUUUUCACUAUUUUACUUAUUUUACAUAUAUAUAUAUUUAUAUAUAUUGGGAGUGAAACUCGCUUCUUCUCUCAUUCUUCUUCUUUCCUUUGUUUCUCUUCAUUUCCUAUUCUCUAUUCCUCUUUCCUUCUUGUCUUCGUUUCUCUUCCAACAUCCAAACUUUUAUUCACAAAGGUUGAACUGUUUCUCUCUUCUAAAAUCAAAACAUUACUCAUUGAGGCCAAAAUCCAAAUUGUAGUUGUUGUAAAGAUUAUUUGUUAGGGUUUCAGUUUUUGUUUUAAUUUUUCUAUUCUUUUUCAUUUUUUUGCAUUUUGUUCUUUUGUGUUAUUGUUUAUGUUUUGUUUUGUUUAUGGGAAAUCCUAGAAUUUAUGGAGGUUUUGGCUUUGAAAUGCAUCUGAAAAAUCAUAUGGGAUAAAUCCUGAAAUAUCCGAAAAAUGACCAAAAAGAAAAAAAUUUGUCAAAUAAUGUUGAAUUUUUGGUUGAAAUUUUGUUAGACCAAUUUUUUUUUUUUUUUUUUUCCCAUUUUGUGAUUUUCCCUCAUAUGUGAAGAAUUUUUCUUCACGGUGAAGAGAUAAGAACACCCAAGAACACUGAUUGAAAAAUAAUGUCUUUUUUUUUUCUUCUUAGAAUAGUGGCAAAAACACGGAAAACACCAUUUUUUUUGUUCUCUAAAAAUCGAGCUUUAGAAAACACGGAGAACACAUGGGAACAAAAAACACUCUCUUAUCAAACAUGUUUUAUGUAUUUUGUAUUCUCAAAAACAAAAAACUGUUUUUGAAAACACUAACCAAACAAGCCUUGAAUUUCCAAACACCCUUAAGAGCGUCUGAAUUAUAUCUCCAACCACUUUUAAAAGCAUGCCACUUUAUACCUACAAAUGCUGUGUAAUAUAUAUAUUUUUUUUUUUCCUUCAAUUUUUCUUUUCACAUUUUCAAAUGUUUUCACUUUUACAUCACUUUUAAAUUAUUUCUAAAUACUUUUAACUAUUCUUAUAAUAAGUAUUUGUCAAAAUUUGCAUAAAUAAUAUGCACUAAAUUAUAUUUAUACGUAACAAACAUAAUAUUAGAGUAUGAGAAGAAAAAUCAAUAACCCAAAUCAUCAAAUCUAAAAAAAAAUGACAAGAAUAAGGUUUAAUUCUAUGUGAAUCUCACUUUAAUAAAAUUUAUGUGACCCAAAUAUCCAUAUGCAAGACAAAACUAUAAAAUGAUCUCAUAAGAAUAAAGUUUAAUUCUAUAUGAAUCUUACUUUAAUAAAAUUUGUAGGCCUUUUUUUAUGCUAGUUUCCUCUAAUAUGAUAAGAAUAGGAUUUAAUUCUAUAUGAAUCUUCUUCAAUAAUUCUAAUAUCCAUAUCUCCUUCUAUAUCUAAAAUCAAUAUAAUUCUAAUAUGAAAAUACAAAAAAAGAAACAAAAAAUUUCUAAAAAGAUGUUAGAAGAAUAAUGUUUAAUUCUUUGUGAAUCUCACUUUAAUUAAAUUUAUAGGAAUUUUUUUCCCUUUUUUUUUUUUUGUUUUUAACUUAGUUUCUUCUCAUGUCCCUAAUGAAUACCACCUAAGUCUCCAAAUCUAAUAGGAAAUCUAGAAAGAUUUUACAAGAAUAAAGUUUAAUCCCGUGUGGGUCUCACUUUAAUUAAAUUUAUAGGAUUUUUUUUUUAUAGUCUAGUUUGCUCUUAUUUCUCUAAUAAAUCAAUCCCACUUAAAUCUUCAAAUCUAGAAUGAUUUUACAAAAAUAAGACUUAAUUCUAUGUAAAUCUAAAUUUAAUAAAAUUUAUAAAAUUAUUUUUUAUCUUCUUUUUUUCUUAUAUCUUAAAUUAAUAUCACCUAAAUCUCUAAACCUAAGAGAGACUGUGAUAUGCUCCACUGGAUAUGGGAGAAAGGUUCUAAUCCUAUAUAAGUACAGGUUCUAUUAAUCAUGUAAAUAUAUUUUAAAAUUAUAAUGACCAUUUAGAAAAAAUGAAAAAGAGAAAAAAAUUUCAAUUAAAUUAUUUGUAAAUAAAACUUAAACAUAAUAUAAUUUAGAUAAAAGUUUUAAUUAACAUUUGUAAAAGAAACUUAACUCCAAAAACAAAAACAAAAACAAAAAAUUCAAGUGAAUAUUCUAAAAUCAUUAAACAUUCCAAAACAAGGCUCACAAGAAAUCACAACAGAACUUAGCCCUAGCUUAUCCACAUGCCAAAGACCAUUUACACAUUAAAUCCUUAGAUAUUUCAAAAAAAAAAAAAAGGCUCUUAAUAAAACAUAACUGAAUUUAACCAUAGUUCAGUCACUACAAAAAUCAAUUUGUAUUUAAUUUCUAAAUGUUCUAAAAAUUGCUUAAAAUAAAACCAAUAGAACUUAAUCUUUGUUUAGUUAUACUUCAAACACUACUUAAGUUAAUAAUAUAUUUAGUUACUAUAUAUUCAUUUAUUUAGUUACUAACAAGAAAUAGUUUUUUUUUCUUUUUUCCUACUUAAAUGUUUUUUGGAUUUCAACAUGGUAUCAAAGUAAAAUUGAUUUUUGAUGGAACAUUUGGUUUAUGAUCUUAUUUGAGAGAGUUUAAUAUCAUACAUUGUUUUCACAAAUCUAACUAUCAUACACCGCAUGCAUCGACUCAUAACAUUUGUUUUCUUCUCUUUUUCCUUGGUGGUUUUAAUUUCAUUUCUUCUACUUCUUUAAGCAUAAACAUUUCUUUUUUAGUCAUGUUUUCUUCCUUAAGCAUAUAUCUUUUUUAUUCUUGUUAAGUCUCAUAAUGUCUCAAUCUGUACUCAUUCACAUUGAUCAUUUAUUGGAUGAUAUAUAUAGUUUUCCUACAGAUAUUGGUAUUUUGGUUCUUGAUUAUGAAGUUAUUUCCUCUCUUCCUACAACUAAUCUUGCAUCUUUGAGAUUAUGGAUCCUCUUUUGUCACGUUCUUCUCGACAUCUUUCAAGUUAUGACCAAGGAACUUUCUACCUUGUAUAAAACUGAUGCUUGGGAUUUGGUACACUUACCACCUACAUAGUAUGGAUUAUGAGGAGACUUUUAUUCCUGUUACAAAGACGACUAUUAUUCUUACUCUUAUUACUGUUACUACUCUUUUUUCUCUCACUCAGAUGUAUUGUGACAACAAGAAUGUUAUUCAAAUUGCUCACAACUCUAUCUUUUAUAAAAUGACCAAGCAUAUUGAGACUGAUUAUCACCUUACUCAUCAUCACCUUCAACAUACAACUCUCACUUUACCUUUUCCUUCUCUCAAUUAGCAAACUCUUCAUGUUUCUUACGGCCACAACAUGAGUUUGUGAGGAUGUUAAAAGUUAUUUAUACAUUUAGUUAUUAUAUUAAAAUUAUAUAUUUAUUUAUUUAGUUAUUAUAUUAUAAUUAUUUUCCUUUUUUUUAGGAAAGUAAAGUAAAUUAGUCUUUAAUUUCUUUUAUUAAAUCUAUUUAAAUUCUAAUGAUGUUGUAGAAUUUGUAAUAAAAAAUUCUAAUUUUUUUUCUUUUCUUUUCUUUCUUCCUUUGAAUCUAUUUUGGAUUUCAACAUGCAGCACAUCUAAUGAAUUUUUAGCUAAAAUAGUCAAAAUACGUAAAGGACAAAAAUCACAAAAAUGGGGCCAAAUAUGUGACGAACAACAAAUUGAAAUCCUAAAUAUUAUCAAAAUUUUGUUUAAUUAUCUUUUCAUCAUAUUUUAGAAAUUUUUCCAUUUAACGGUUAGUGUUUUACCUUUUAAGUCUAUCUAUUUCAUGCUUCUAGUUUCAUAAAGAAAAAGAAAAAAAAAACCCAAAAAAAAAAAUUCUAUUUUUCAGAUUUUAUUUUUCUCUCCCCUUUUGACUUUUUAUAUAACACAAUCUUUUGAAUUUGACCUAUAAUUUUAUACCAAAACUAUUGAAUUUCUUAAUUUUAUUAAGAAAGACACACUGAAUAACAUUCAUAAUGGGACUCUUAAAUUAUAAAAGAUUAUCAAACAAUAAUAACAAAUUUUAUUGAUGGAUACAACAACAUUCAUUUUUAUUUAUUUGUUUACUGUUUUUUCAAAACGUUUUCUUUAUUGUUAACCAUGAAGGUACGAGCCAUUCAUUCAGCACCAACACUUAAGCCAAUCCAAAUUUGACUUAACCAAUUAGACCCAAAGUUGAAAAAUUAAGGUUAGUUUCAGUUCUGAUUAAGCACAUCAAAUUAAGGGGGUUAAGUUGAAUUUAGGUAAAACAUUUCUUAACUCAAACCGGGUGAAGUUGGCCCAAACUAAAAUUAACAAAAACUAGUAAAGCCAUGUCUAAGAUUUGAUUUUAGAACCCUCAGGAUCCAUCGUUACCUUGAAAUUUAAUUAAAUAUCCUUUUUACAAUUCUCAUUUGUUAUUUUCACUCAUCUUUCGUUUGAAUCAAAAUAAGGGAGAUAAUUACUUGACCAAUUUAUAAAAAUAUUUUAUAAAAUAAAUUUUACUCACCUCAUCAAACGUUGAGGCUGAAUGCACUUAAAGAGUGUUUGUUUUUUUUACCUUUUUAUUGAAAACGUUGCUUUCGGUCUUUAGGAUGUUCGUUUUUCUAAUUUUUUAUGACUUACUAUAAAUUUUUUAUUAAACAAAAAAAACCAAAAUAUUUAAUUUAAAAAAAAAAAAAAAAAGUAACAUGUUAAUUUUUCUUUACAUUUUAAUACUUAAUAAAAAUAAAAUAUUAUAAAAAUAAACAACAUAAUACCUAACACUAUUAAACAUUUUUUAAUUCUAAGUUCUAUUUAGAAUUAAUUAAGAAAAACAAACAAAGAAACAAACAUCAUCUUAAUCAUCAUAAAUUUACUUCUUAUUUUAAAUAAAAUGGUAGAUGUGUGAAAAUAACUAAUAGGAAAAAAUUUUAAUAAAAUUUCAAAUUAAUUAUGGAUAAAUAUAAGUGAAAUUAAUUAUAUUUUAUAAUAUGGAAAUUUUGUUUUAAAACUAGAAUCACAAUUGAGUAUCAGAUGUUAGCCCCUUUUUAGCCAAGAAGGCCAAAGGAGAUCUUUUGUAUGGUAUUAAGGGAGGUUUUCAACCUGUGACGAUCACCAUGAUCUCAAACUUGCACUAAAAUCUACCCAAAUUUAAAAACAAAUUCUUAAACUUGUCUAUAUCUCAAUCAUCCUUAUCAUAAAUUCAUUUUAUUAAAGGUGUUUGAAUAAACCCGUCUCUAUCUUGUUUAUCCUUAUCACAAAUUCAUUCUAUUAAGAGUGGGUCAGUACUUGAAUAAACUUCUCCUAUUAUCAUCCCUAUUUAGGUGUUUCCAUCCCUCUAUUUACAUGUUUCUUUAAAUUCAUUUUACUUUUUUUUUAAAAGAAAAUAAUUUUAAAAUUUAUAAGUUUCUACUUAAUUUAAAUUAAAUGUGAUUUUUUCUUUUCCUUGGAAUCAAACAUAAAGUAAAACUCUUGAUUACAUUUCUAAAUUUUGAAGUUCCUUCCGAUACCUCAAAAGGGACAAAGCUCCUAAACCAUCAAACUUUGUUGUUGUCACUUGUCACAUUGGUGAAGCAUUUAAAUCAUCAUCAUCAUGCAAUAUUACUUUGUGGGUUUCCAUCUGGGCAUGUGAUUUAGCAAAAUAAAACUAAGAAUGGUUAAGGCCAAGUGAGAUUUAUAUUGGACAGUGAACUACAAGAUUUGGAUCACCAGUGGUUGUCACCCAAUUGCCUAGAUAUUUGGUUACUCUAUGGAAUCAAAAGAAGGAUAAUCACUCACAUCAACAUAUUCUGAUCAUUUUAUCGGUUUGACUUGUCAGAAACAAGAAUUUUGCAUCUAUGAUCUAUUCUCAAAGAAGGAUAAUCACUCACAUCAACAUAUUCUGAUCAUUUUAUGGGUUUGACUUGUCAGAAACAAGAAUUUUGCAUCUAUGAUCUAUUCUCAUUUUGUGUGGUAUAUAUUAUAUUUAAUUUCGUUGCCACCAAUGCUGAGGGUUCCAAAGAAGCUUUGUCCCACAGCUUGGUUCUAUAUAUGUGAAAAAGCAAGCUUUCAACACUAUAAAACCUACAAUUUCCUUCUACUCCUUCAUCCAAAUCCAAAGCAUGUUUUCUAUAGUAAGUAUGCCUUCAACAUCAUCGGUUUUAUCAGCAUACACCACCUUUGCUGCAUCAGCAAUGGUGGUUAAAACCAUGCUACAUGAAGUUCAGACCAUGGCCAAACAGCUCAUACCUCAACCACUCCAGGACAAGAUUUUAUCAGGAAUUGGAAGGCUUCUUGGGGAUCCCUCCUCUCAGAUGACUCUUGUCAUUGAUGAAUACAACGGC
rnacentral:lncRNA from 1 species